rnacentral:tRNA from 1 species
GGUCACGUGGCCGAGUGGUUAGGCACGGGUCUGCAAAACCCUUUACUCCGGUUCAAUUCCGGACGUGACCU